ensembl:snRNA U6 U6 spliceosomal RNA
GUGCUGCCUUCGCAGCACGUAUACUGAAAUUGAAUGAUACAGAGAGAUUAGCAUGGCCCUGCCCAAGGAUGGCACACAAAUUUGUGAAGCGUUCCGUAUUUUU